AAUACUUAGUAACUCUGUACUGUAUAAUACAGAAGAUCAUGUCGACUGAUGUUGUCAGUAAUAAUAUUGAGAUAGGAUCUCAGUUUGAAAGCUAUGAGGAAGUUCAGAAGGCAAUUGAUGAGUAUUCAAAAAGAAAUUAUAUCAUUUUAUGGAAACGGGAUGCCAGGACAAUUCAGUCAAGUAAAGUUAAGGGUUUUUUAAUAUUUUUUGAUAAACUUAUUUUUUAUGAACUAAAAUAUGCUUGUGUACAUGGAGGUAGAGGUUUUGUUUCUUGUAGCAAGGGCAUACGUGAAUCGUCGUAGUACCUAUGUAUAUUUAGUAUUUAUCCCCAUACUUCAUAAUAAUUUUUGUAAUUGCAAUGAAUAGAAUCCAUUAUUAAUAAUGAUCUAUAUUGUAGAACAUAUAGAAAGAAGUGUCCCUUUUUUGUCAGAUUUAGGGCUUCCAAAAUGGAAUAAGUUUAGAAGUAAUAGUCAUGAACAAUGAACACAAUCAUACAAUUUCAAAGGAAUAUUAUGCCCACUACCCAGUUCAAAGACAAAUGCCUGAAGAUAUGAAAAAUAUUACAAAAGAGUUAUUAGUACUAAAGGCAAAUAAAAAACUUGUUAAAGGAAAAAUGAUAGAAAAAACUGGAAAAGUAAUUUUACUGAAAGACCUGUCUAAUUUGGCAUCAGUUAAAAAUGUGAAGAAGGAUAAUUUGGCCUACUGCAUUAAGCUAAUACAGGAUAAAUAUGAGUGUGAGGUUUCUGUUCUAAAAGAUGAUGAUUCAAAUUUCCAAGCACUGUUUGCCCAAAGUCCAUAUAUGAAAAAUAUUUUUGAAUAUUUUC